CUGCAGCUAAUUAAGCCAACCAUGCUCCUUUCCUCAUGGAGGCCUGGUGUGUACUAGCUGCAAACAGCAGCCUCCAUGGUAGUGUAUGUAGUCUGUUGUUUGUAUAGGUUGCUCUAAGGGACCUUGAAGAAUUCC